rfam:Clostridiales bacterium GWD2_32_19 gwd2_scaffold_180, whole genome shotgun sequence.
UAGUUUAUAUUAAAUAAACCGUAGAAAGUAGGCGCGAAAGCUUAAAUUAUACCUACCGAGGUGAUGAAUCAUAAUAAUUUAGAUUAUUAUAAGGUUUACACUUCGCAUAUGUAGGUGUAAACCUUUUUGUUUUAAUUU